AAGGGGGAGCAAAUGCGGAGUCCACUUUCUCUGAGACCGGUAUCUCCCCUGCGCUACCCCUCGGACUGCGCUCCCGCUGCGGCCGAGGCUCGUGGUGGGGGAGGAGAAAAGGGUGAGGGGUUGCGAUCUCAGAGUUUGUUUGGCUCGAAGUUUUCUGGCUCCGGCUAAGUCCCCUGACUGCCGUAUUGACACGAAUAGACGCCACCUCCAGUGGUACCCUUCCUCUCCUACCCCCUGGCCACGCUCUUGCUGCUCUGCAAUUUGUAUUCUUUCAAAUUUUGUCCGUGGAGAGCUGAAGCCAGUUUACCAGGACUCUUAGGAAAGCUGUGUUCUCAUUUGUCUCUACAUCGAACUUUAAGCAGUCCUUGGGCAAAGGUGGUAAUGGGCACAGCUCGGGUGUUGAGAACUCCACCAGAAUUCCACCAGAAUGGAAGCUUCCUCUAGGAGAGCAGGAUCUUUGUCCGAUUUUCCGCUGAAUCUUAAUCGCCCUGCAUUCAGUCCUUCUUCAGCAAAUGUGUUUGAAAUCACUUCUGUCCUUUCAAAUCAGCUAACUACCAAAUGACUGCGACCGCAGGAGCUCAAUAUGAGGUGUCGACAGAGCCAGGCUACUCAAAUCACGAUCCAGAAAUCAGAAUGCCUGACUAGGAGAUGGGAUUCAGAUGGCAGAAUAGGAGGACUGGAGCUCAACUUCUUUCCUAAAAACAACAAAACUCACGACCAAAUGCUGAGUAAUUUUCAACCAAAUGGACCGGACACUUUCAAAAAGACAUUCUACACUGGAAGACAAAGAGGAGGCCACAUCAAGAGGUACGAGGGGCCAUUAUGUGAUAAAAGCAACCUCAUACCUCCCCGGUGGGAAGCCCCACAGACUGGAAAGUAACUGGUUCACAGAGACUCACCUACAGGAGUGAGAGUUCUGAGCCCCACAUCAAACCCCCACACGUGGGGAUCUGGCACUGGGAGCAAGAGCCCCCGGAGCAUCUGGCAUUGAAGGCCAGUGGGGCUUGUGUGCAGGAGCUCCAGGGGACUGGGGAAGCGGAGACCCCAUUCUUGGAAGGCGCACACAGGCUUUCCCCUGCACUGGGUCCCAGGGCACAGCAGGGUCUCGG
rnacentral:lncRNA from 1 species